AUACAAAUCAUUCACCUUUUUCCUAAUCAAACUUAUCCCUUUCCUAUUUCUGUAUUCUUGUUUAACGUCUUUUCUUUAAAAGUAAUUACUACUUCAACUUUAUCUUCCAAUUCACGUAGAAAAAUACCAAGGUAUGGAGCAUAACCAGCUUGGUCACUUCGCAUACAAACCACUGCCCGUGUUAAAUAUUCAACUCUUUGAGACAAUGGAAUAUUUGAUCUAUAAGAAGUAAAACGCGUAAAUUUGGUGCAUCAAAACGUGUAAGGUACGCUUCUAAAGAAGGCGCUGCGAAAGCAACGAGUUCGCCGUGAAGCCCUCUGUCAAUCAUCCAGGAGUAACAGGUGCAGUCGAAGCAUUUUGAGGGGGAGGUCCAGGUCUGCUAGGUAUACUUGGAGUCAACGGAUUUGAAAUGCUUUGAUUAUA